GUAGGCAUGAGAAUCAGUAGAACUUAUCUUAGUGUGAUAGAACAAAUUUCAACAGAAUUGAAGUAGAAUUGAAGUGAAGCUGAAUUUUUUUCCAGGAUGAAGAUCCUCUUCCUCAUCAUCCUCUACCUGAUCUCAGGUCCAGUAGACUGCUCUGAUGUGAUUGGUUACUCAGGUGGAAGUGUCAUUUUUUUCUCUGAUAUAAACUGGUACAAACACAAUAGUAAAUAUAUCUGCAAAGUGAAUGAAAAAGACUGCACUGAUAUAAUACGUGUUGACACAAAACGCCACAAAGUUCAAGAAGGAAGAUUCCUGUUGUAUGCAAACACAGAC